rnacentral:rRNA from 1 species
CGACUCUCGGCAACGGAUAUCUCGGCUCUCGCAUCGAUGAAGAACGUAGCGAAAUGCGAUACUUGGUGUGAAUUGCAGAAUCCCGUGAACCAUCGAGUCUUUGAACGCAAGUUGCGCCAGAAGCCGUCAGGCCGAGGGCACGCCUGCCUGGGCGUCACG